UCAAGGCUUCAAUAAACCCAACGGAGCCAAGGAAACCAGGUUUGUCAUUCGUAUUGGAGACAGUGGCACCUAUUAAAAUUAAGACGAGGGCAGAAAUGGGACCAGAAUUACUGAAUUAGAACAAAAGGCAUCGAAACAAAGACAUCUCUGGAGCUGGAAUAAAGGGGAGAAUGUCUUCACCAAACAACUGAAACAAUGAUACCAGUAGUUUCCCAGAAUUCAAUUCGUCCUUCCACACCUGAUUGAGGAGAGC